rnacentral:rRNA from 1 species
CCCUUAGAUGUUCUGGGCCGCACGCGCGCUACACUGACUGGUGCAACAAGUGUCGCUCCUUGGCCGAUAGGCCUGGGCAAUCUCUGAACGCCAGUCGUGAUGGGGAUAGAUUCUUGCAAUUUUUGAUCUUCAACGAGGAAUUCCUAGUAAACGCGAGUCAUCAACUCGCAUUGAUUACGUCCCUGCCCUUUGUACACACCGCCCGUCGCACCUACCGAUUGAAUGGUCCGGUGAGCCCUCCGGAUCGGCUCGCGCCAACGCAAGUUGAGCAAAGGCCGAGAAGUUGGGUAAACCUUACCAUUUAGAGGAAGGUGAAGUCGUAACA